rnacentral:rRNA from 1 species
UACGUAGGUGGCAAGCGUUAUCCGGAAUUAUUGGGCGUAAAGAGCGCGCAGGUGGUUAAUUAAGUCUGAUGUGAAAGCCCACGGCUUAACCGUGGAGGGUCAUUGGAAACUGGUUGACUUGAGUGCAGAAGAGGGAAGUGGAAUUCCAUGUGUAGCGGUGAAAUGCGUAGAGAUAUGGAGGAACACCAGUGGCGAAGGCGGCUUCCUGGUCUGCAACUGACACUGAGGCGCGAAAGCGUGGGAGCAAACAGG